UGGCUGUUUGAAAUAAACGUGCUAUGGGAAAAGAUGUGUUUUUGUUGCUCUUAAGCAAAUAUAACUUUAGCGGCAUGGGGAGGCAAGUAUAUGUCCCCCAUGUACGUAAUAUGGUGGAGGACUUCAAAACGACCCCUUUUUAAGUGUAUUUUAUGUGAGCUGUCCCCAAAGAUGAAGCAUCAACUUUCUGAAAGUCUAGAACACGAGGCUGGCGGCGCCAUUAUUAAAUUUGACCACGUUGGAAUCUUGGCAUUUUCGUUCAGUGGAGUAUAGCAGUAUCAUGCAGCUGACACUGGAAACAAUUUUUGGAUUUUGUGUGAAAUUUGGAUGUUUUUUAUUUGGAUUUAGCCAAUAUUCAGAAGUCACAAAUUUAUGGGAGUUUUCGUCAACAAAGGAAAACGGUACAAUUCAAGGAACUGUUUUUAAACAACAUUGUAUACAUGCAUAUUAAUAUCGAAAGUAUUUCGCAAUUGUUUAUUAUCCUUUGAACUUUGAUUUUCAUUUGGACUGUUGGACGCGAUUGAAAUUUCUACACAAACAAUUAAAUUUUAACCGCAAUUUGGCGUUGG
rnacentral:lncRNA from 1 species